rnacentral:rRNA from 1 species
AUUGAACACUGGCGGCAGGCCUAACACAUGCAAGUCGAGCGAGCGGCGGACGGGUGAGUAAUGUAUGGGGACUGCCCGAUAGCGGGGGAUAACUACUGGAAACGGUAGCUAAUACCGCAUACUAUCGGAUAACCCAUAUGGGAUUAGCUAGUAGGUGAGGUAAUGGCUCACCUAGGCGACGAUCCCUAGCUGGUCUGAGAGGAUGAUCAGCCACACUGGGACUGAGACACGGCCCAGACUCCUACGGAGGCAGCAGUGGUGAAUAUUGCACAAUGGGCGCAAGCCUGAUCCAGCCAUCCCGCGUGUAUGAUGAAGGCCUUCGGGUUGUAAAGUACUUUUGGCGGAGAAGCGGUAUCUGCAGAAUAAGCACCGGCUAACUACGUGCCAGCAGCCGCGGUAAUAC